rnacentral:rRNA from 1 species
AUGAGAGUCGUGUUCAGAGGCGAGCAAUAUCACUGGAAUUUGAGAGGAAGCAGUUCAAUAUUCGCUUGUCGCAAUUCGUAUGGAGGAGAUGACGCUUGCAACCUCUUGGUGUUAACCUUUCUAUACCAAGGGGCAUCAUCCCAGUGCUCCAUGGCCAUGUCAUCGGCCUCACUACUAAAGCGGUUCAGCAAUGUAGCACGGUCGCCAAAAGGGUGCUGCUACAACCCAGAGAGAUCCGGCGUUGGUAUUGUCUCGGCUGUUAUGGAACCAGCCGUUGCACGCCUACGCAUCGUCGGGCCUCUCAUCAACACCAACGCGCGUGAGAUCCUAGAGAUUACACUACCGAACCUCUGUUGGAGCAAUAGGAGGCCAUUCCGAGCAGCCAUACUGUCAUGCGGUCUAUGCCGCAGGUGGAUCGGUAGUGGCACCGUCUACAUGUUCAAAGGCGAGAUGGGAUUUUGUAAACAAGAGUGUCUUUGCGACUAUAUCACUGAGCAAUUGGAAAAGGAGACAGAGAGGGUGAGAUGGUGUGGAAGAGAAAAGGUGCCAACAAUGUUGGACAAGGAAGGCGACCAGAGCUGCAUUUUCUUCACCUGCGCUGGCAGCCUAUGA